rnacentral:rRNA from 1 species
ACUCAAAGGAAUAGACGGGGGCCCGCACAAGCGGUGGAGCAUGUGGUUUAAUUCGAUGCAACGCGAAGAACCUUACCUACCCUUGACAUGCCAGGAAUUCUGCAGAGAUGCGGAAGUGCCGAAAGGAACCUGGACACAGGUGCUGCAUGGCUGUCGUCAGCUCGUGUUGUGAGAUGUUGGGUUAAGUCCCGUAACGAGCGCAACCCUUAUCUUUAGUUGCCAACAUGUAAUGGUGGGGACUCUAAAGAGACUGCUGGUGAAGAACCGGAGGAAGGCGGGGACGAGGUCAAGUCAUCAUGGCCCUUAUGGGUAGGGCUACACACGUGCUACAAUGGGCAGUACAGAGGGACGCCAACCCGCGAGGGGGAGCCAAUCCCAGAAAGCUGUUCGUAGUCCGGAUCGGAGUCUGGAACUCGACUCCGUGAAGUCGGAAUCGCUAGUAAUCGCGAAUCAGAAUGUCGCGGUGAAUACGUUCCCGGGCCUUGUACACACCGCCCGU